GACUACCGGGGUAUCUAAUCCUGUUUGAUCCCCACGCUUUCGUGCUUCAGUGUCAGUUAUAGUUUAGUAAGCUGCCUUCGCAAUCGGAGUUCUGCGUGAUAUCUAUGCAUUUCACCGCUACACCACGCAUUCCGCCUACCUCAAAUAUACUCAAGUCAACCAGUUUCAACGGCAAUUUUAUGGUUGAGCCACAAACUUUCACCGCUGACUUAAUUAACCACCUACGCACCCUUUAAACCCAAUAAAUCCGGAUAACGCUCGCAUCCUCCGUAUUACCGCGGCUGCUGGCACGGAGUUAGCCGAUGCUUAUUCAUAUGGUACAUACAAAAAGGAACACGUUCCUCACUUUAUUCCCAUAUAAAAGAAGUUUACAAACCAUAGAUCCUUCAUCCUUCACGCGACUUGGCUGGUUCAGGCUCGCGCCCAUUGACCAAUAUUCCUCACUGCUGCCCCCCGUAGG
rnacentral:rRNA from 1 species